CCCACAUGAAAAGUUCUGACUGGUCCACAUUAUUUUAUGAGGCGAAAUGUUCUUAUCCCUUGUUAGAUUGUCUCUAUGGUUUUGUUUCAGAUAUAUAAGCCAAAAUCUACAUUUUAUGCGAUGCUCUUCUUUUAGACAUUGCGGCCAUCUUAAUUAUUGGGCGGGGUCAUCGGAUACUUUUUUUAAACUAAAUACCCUAAGGAUGAUUUUGGCCAUGUUUGCUUUAAUUUUGCCAGUAGUUUCAGAAGAGAAGAUUUUUGUAAAAAUUAAUGACGACGACGAAUAAUGAGAAAAUGAGAAAAGCUCACUUAGUCCUAUGGUCCAGGUGAGCUAAAAAGCAAAACGGACAAAAAGCAACGGACAAAAAGCAAAAGUGUCGG
rnacentral:lncRNA from 1 species